rnacentral:rRNA from 1 species
ACGGGGUGCAGCAGGCGCGAAAACUUUACACUACACGAAAGUGUGAUAAGGGGAUUCCAAGUGUACUUAUACCAUAAGUACUUUUUCGGAGUUUAAAACGCUCCGGGAAUAAGGGGUGGGCAAGACUAGUGCCAGCCGCCGCGGUAAAACUAGCAUCUCGAGUGGCAGUCACAUUUAUUGGGCUUAGAGCGUCCGUAGCUCGUCUGGAAAGUCUUUGGUGAAAUCCUGCGGCUUAACCGUAGGGCGCGCCGGAGAAACUACCAGGCUUGAAGGCAGGAGAGGCAGGGGGUACGUCUGGGGUAGGGGUGAAAUCCUAUAAUCCUAGACGGACCAACAGUGGCGAAGGCGCCCUGCAUGAAUGCGCUUGACAGUGAGGGACGAGAGCCAAGAGCGCGAAACGGAUUAGAUACCCGUGUAGUCUUGGCCGUAAACGAUGCCGACUAGGUGGGGUGUGACCUUAGUGGUCAUGCUAUGCCGAAGGGAAACCGUUAAGUCAGCCGCCUGGGGAGUACGACCGCAAGGUUGAAACUUAAAGGAAUUGGCGGGGGAGCAC